rnacentral:rRNA from 1 species
GGCGUGCCUAAUACAUGCAAGUCGAGCGAACGGACGAGAAGCUUGCUUCUCUGAUGUUAGCGGCGGACGGGUGAGUAACACGUGGAUAACCUACCUAUAAGACUGGGAUAACUUCGGGAAACCGGAGCUAAUACCGGAUAAUAUUUUGAACCGCAUGGUUCAAAAGUGAAAGACGGUCUUGCUGUCACUUAUAGAUGGAUCCGCGCUGCAUUAGCUAGUUGGUAAGGUAACGGCUUACCAAGGCAACGAUGCAUAGCCGACCUGAGAGGGUGAUCGGCCACACUGGAACUGAGACACGGUCCAGACUCCUACGGGAGGCAGCAGUAGGGAAUCUUCCGCAAUGGGCGAAAGCCUGACGGAGCAACGCCGCGUGAGUGAUGAAGGUCUUCGGAUCGUAAAACUCUGUUAUUAGGGAAGAACAUAUGUGUAAGUAACUGUGCACAUCUUGACGGUACCUAAUCAGAAAGCCACGGCUAACUACGUGCCAGCAGCCGCGGUAAUACGUAGGUGGCAAGCGUUAUCCGGAAUUAUUGGGCGUAAAGCGCGCGUAGGCGGUUUUUUAAGUCUGAUGUGAAAGCCCACGGCUCAACCGUGGAGGGUCAUUGGAAACUGGAAAACUUGAGUGCAGAAGAGGAAAGUGGAAUUCCAUGUGUAGCGGUGAAAUGCGCAGAGAUAUGGAGGAACACCAGUGGCGAAGGCGACUUUCUGGUCUGUAACUGACGCUGAUGUGCGAAAGCGUGGGGAUCAAACAGGAUUAGAUACCCUGGUAGUCCACGCCGUAAACGAUGAGUGCUAAGUGUUAGGGGGUUUCCGCCCCUUAGUGCUGCAGCUAACGCAUUAAGCACUCCGCCUGGGGAGUACGACCGCAAGGUUGAAACUCAAAGGAAUUGACGGGGACCCGCACAAGCGGUGGAGCAUGUGGUUUAAUUCGAAGCAACGCGAAGAACCUUACCAAAUCUUGACAUCCUU